ACCAUUGGAACAAUAUAUGUAUUUAUGUACAUAAAAUAAAAUCCUGCAGUACAAUUUUUUACUCCUCAGUCGAGAAGAAUAAGGUCCAUUUGCUUAGACGCCCUGGUUCAGUUGUUCUGAAAUUAAGAAGUAGCAUGGCCUCAAGGCAAGCAAGCGAUUGGAAAUGUCCCAUCUGCUCGAAAACGUUCAAAGCCAAGCGAAACUUAAGAUAUCACAUUUUAACUCACAACCCCGAAGCAAAGGUGAAAUGUCAGGUUCAAACUCCUCCCAUUGGGCCGGAGAACAUAAAAAUGUGGUUCCCUUUGAUUUUCGAAAAGGGGUGCGGUCAGGAAGGGGGUUUUUGUGGAAUUUCAAAAAAGUCUCAAAUUGCCCCUGAAACCACACCCACUUUGUCCUGAAUUUGAUGCAAAUGAGGUAUCAUACAUGCCCCUAGCUCUUACCAUUGUCUCGCAAGAAAAUAAAAGGAAAUUAUUUCCGAAUUUUGAAGUACUCCAAUAGGACUAAUGACGUAUCUGAGGUGAUGCUUUUGUGCAAGUUGAGGUCAAAGUUGACGAAAAAACGUCGUGAAAAAUGUGGAGAUAUGGAGGGACCCUAAAUCCUUAACGAUAGGUAUCAUAAAAAUUUUCCGAUUUUUAUUUAGAAAGUAUCCACUUUAAAAAUUCGUAAGUAUAUUGAGCGUACUCACGUCAACUUCGCAUAUCUCGCAAAUUG